UUGCUUUGGCAGCACACUGACUAAAGCUGUAGUCAUGGAGAUUAGCAAGGUCCACAUGCAAGGAUAACACAUAAAUUUGUCAAGUAUUCCAUAUUUUA
rnacentral:snRNA from 1 species